rnacentral:tRNA from 1 species
GCUAAUUUGGUGUAACGCACAUUGGCCUUUCACGCCAAAGGAACAUAUCCUGUAUUUAGCC